UACGUAGGGGGCGAGCGUUGUCCGGAUUUAUUGGGCGUAAAGAGCUCGUAGGCGGUUCGUUAAGUCGGACGUGAAAUCUCCACGCUCAACGUGGAGGGGCCGUUCGAUACUGUCGUGACUCGAGUCCGGUAGGGGAGUGUGGAAUUCCCGGUGUAGCGGUGAAAUGCGCAGAGAUCGGGAGGAACACCCGUAGCGAAGGCGGCUCACUGGGCUGACCUUGACGCUGAGGCGCGAAGGCGUGGGGAGCGAACGGG
rnacentral:rRNA from 1 species